UGCAGCAGCCAGCUCUCUGCAACUCUCACAUGCUCGCCCACUGUAGCUAAGCAGGGCUGUGCCCAGUCAGUACCAGGAUGGGAGACCACAUGGGAAAGCUAGGUUGCUGCCAGAA
rnacentral:rRNA from 1 species